GGAAUAUUGGACAAUGGGCGCAAGCCUGAUCCAGCAAUGCCGCGUGUGUGAAGAAGGCCUUCGGGUUGUAAAGCACUUUUAUCAGGAGCGAAAUACUACCGGCUAAUACCCGGUGGGGCUGACGGUACCUGAGGAAUAAGCACCGGCUAACUUCGUGCCAGCAGCCGCGGUAAUACGAAGGGUGCAAGCGUUAAUCGGAAUUACUGGGCGUAAAGCGUGCGUAGGCGGUUAUUUAAGUCUGCUGUGAAAUCCCCGGGCUCAACCUGGGAAUGGCAGUGGAUACUGGAUAGCUAGAGUGUGAUAGAGGAUGGUGGAAUUCCCGGUGUAGCGGUGAAAUGCGUAGAGAUCGGGAGGAACAUCAGUGGCGAAGGCGGCCAUCUGGAUCAACACUGACGCUGAGGCACGAAAGCGUGGGGAGCAAACA
rnacentral:rRNA from 1 species